rnacentral:rRNA from 1 species
UGGGGAAUUUUGCACAAUGGGGGAAACCCUGAUGCAGCGACGCCGCGUGAUUUAGAAGGCCUUCGGGUUGUAAAAAUCUUUUUUACGGGAUGAAAAUGACAGUACCGUAAGAAUAAGGUCCGGCUAAAUACGUGCCAGCAGCCGCGGUAAUACGUAUGGACCGAGCGUUGUCCGGAAUCAUUGGGCGUAAAGGGUACGUAGGCGGCCUAGUAAGUUAGAAGUGAAAUAAUAUAGCUCAACUAUAUAAAGCUUUUAAAACUGCUAGGCUUGAGAGAUGGAAGGGAAAGUGGAAUUCCUAGUGUAGCGGUGAAAUGCGCAGAUAUUAGGAAGAAUACCAGUGGCGAAGGCGACUUUCUGGUCAUCAUCUGACGCUGAGGUACGAAAGCGUGGGUAGCAAACAGG